AAACUAACAGAUUUACUUCGGUAAUGACGUUAGGAAAGCGAGCGGCGGAUGGGUGAGUAACACGUGGGGAACCUGCCCCAUAGUCUGGGAUACCACUUGGAAACAGGUGCUAAUACCGGAUAAGAAAGCAGAUCGCAUGAUCAGCUUUUAAAAGGCGGCGUAAGCUGUCGCUAUGGGAUGGCCCCGCGGUGCAUUAGCUAGUAGGUAAGGUAAAGGCUUACCAAGGCGAUGAUGCAUAGCCGAGUUGAGAGACUGAUCGGCCACAUUGGGACUGAGACACGGCCCAAACUCCUACGGGAGGCAGCAGUAGGGAAUCUUCCACAAUGGACGCAAGUCUGAUGGAGCAACGCCGCGUGAGUGAAGAAGGUUUUCGGAUCGUAAAGCUCUGUUGUUGGUGAA
rnacentral:rRNA from 1 species